rnacentral:rRNA from 1 species
UACGGGGGGAGCAAGCGUUGUUCGGAUUUACUGGGCGUAAAGGGCGCGUAGGCGGUCAGCACAAGUCAGUUUUGAAAUCUCCGGGCUUAACUCGGAAAGGUCAACUGAUACUGUGCGACUAGAGUGCGGAAGGGGCAACUGGAAUUCUUGGUGUAGCGGUGAAAUGCGUAGAUAUCAAGAGGAACACCUGCGGCGAAGGCGGGUUGCUGGGCCGACACUGACGCUGAGGCGCGAAAGCCAGGGGAGCGAACGGG